CUUCAGUAUGACAACCGUUCUCGAAACCCAUUUAUCAAUAAUUUUUUUCAUAUUGAUCUUUCUUAAUGUAGGAUUUAUCAUCAAUAUCAUCCUAGCCGUAUUUACCCGUUGUAGAGAUCCUGAUGAGGAUUGGGAAUCAAAUACAACAGUAACCACUGAGACCUCUUGAUAUUUUCAGCCUGUGCUGGAUAAAACUAUUCCCAAAUAAAAAAUGCAUUGUUCUCUUUUUAAACUCAAGAGAAUGAAGAACAGAUAUAGACUAUUGACUAUUCCUUUCUUAAUUUUCAUUAUAAGUACGUUAUAAAAGGA